rnacentral:rRNA from 1 species
CCUACGGGAGGCAGCAGUGGGGAAUAUUGGGCAAUGGGCGAAAGCCUGACCCAGCAACGCCGCGUGAAGGAAGAAGGCUUUCGGGUUGUAAACUUCUUUUGACAGGGAAGAGCAGAAGACGGUACCUGUCGAAUAAGCCACGGCUAACUACGUGCCAGCAGCCGCGGUAAUACGUAGGUGGCAAGCGUUGUCCGGAUUUACUGGGUGGAAAGGGCGUGUAGCCGGGCUGACAAGUCAGAUGUGAAAUCCGGGGGCUCAACCCCCGAACUGCAUUUGAAACUGUUGGUCUUGAGUAUCGGAGAGGCAGGCGGAAUUCCUGGUGUAGCGGUGAAAUGCGUAGAUAUUAGGAGGAACACCAGUGGCGAAGGCGGCCUGCUGGACGACAACUGACGGUGAGGCGCGAAAGCGUGGGGAGCAAACAGGAUUAGAUACCCUAGUAGUC